UCACGCUUGACAAAAGAAAAACACCCCCAAACAACCCCCCCCCCCUUGCACAAUUUCAAAAAAUAAAAAUAAAGAAGAGAAAUAAAAAAUCUAAAAAAAUAUAAUAAAAUAAAGGGGUUAUUUUAGUUCUUCCCUGCUGGGUUUGGCUGUUUACAAACAAAACGAGGUAGGUCCAAAAGGUCCAAAAUGUCGCUUUGAGAAAGCCUGAGCGCAGCCCAGCAGACUUAUGCACAUUCCUGUGCUGUUUGCUCGCUUGAAAGAGCUCUUUUACUUGUCAUUCCUGUCAGGCUCAGUGGCGGUGAUGCUGGUGGGUCGCUGCUGCCCGACCCCUCUUCCUAAAUACAUCCCAGUACCAUCCAGAGCGGAGGAGAACAACGCACAGACUGUCACUUCACACUGGUGUCUGGAAAGGUCUUUCCCAACCCACACCUCGAAUCCAUCCUCCUCCAUAAAGAAGACCCAACUAACCAGUGGGAGCCACAGAAAAAGUAUAUGAUCCACCCAUGGACACUGUGAAUUUACCAAGAUGGAAGUGUUUGAGCGACUGGGCCCAGGUCUGUGUGGGUGUUGGUGAAUGUUAAUACAUUUUCAAUAGAUUUCCCUGUUUGUUUUCCGGCAGAAAGUUCCACUUUGUUUCUGCAAUCAUGAGACUGAGCAUUGAUGGCAGAUUUACGGUCCAUUUAUUCUCCAUACUGCAUACAGCAACAAUGUUAAUACAGCAUAAGCCUCUAAUUAAUCCAUGCAACACAAUGGUUAUGCUGACAAUGAGUCCUUUGCAUCUCCUCUAGCCCCCCCACCCCCCCGGCACUAAUCACCCCUCAUACCGCCACUGGUUUCUCCUGCCGCCUUUGUCGCUGCUCACGCCUCCAUCACACAAAGCGCAGUGUAGCGGUCACUAACGAGACAAGGAUGCUGACAUACGCCUCCCUUUUUUUCAUGUAUUGGUAAACAGCUUCAGGGUCUAAGCCUAUAUUCACUGAAUGGAUACUCACUGUACUGCAAAUACUACAUUUUAAACUGAAUGUCAUAGAAAAAAAAAUAAAAAUA
rnacentral:lncRNA from 15 species